rnacentral:rRNA from 1 species
GAUGAACGCUGGCGGCGUGCCUAAUACAUGCAAGUCGAGCGAACGGACGAGAAGCUUGCUUCUCUGAUGUUAGCGGCGGACGGGUGAGUAACACGUGGAUAACCUACCUAUAAGACUGGGAUAACUUCGGGAAACCGGAGCUAAUACCGGAUAAUAUUUUGAACCGCAUGGUUCAAAAGUGAAAGACGGUCUUGCUGUCACUUAUAGAUGGAUCCGCGCUGCAUUAGCUAGUUGGUAAGGUAACGGCUUACCAAGGCAACGAUGCAUAGCCGACCUGAGAGGGUGAUCGGCCACACUGGAACUGAGACACGGUCCAGACUCCUACGGGAGGCAGCAGUAGGGAAUCUUCCGCAAUGGGCGAAAGCCUGACGGAGCAACGCCGCGUGAGUGAUGAAGGUCUUCGGAUCGUAAAACUCUGUUAUUAGGGAAGAACAUAUGUGUAAGUAACUGUGCACAUCUUGACGGUACCUAAUCAGAAAGCCACGGCUAACUACGUGCCAGCAGCCGCGGUAAUACGUAGGUGGCAAGCGUUAUCCGGAAUUAUUGGGCGUAAAGCGCGCGUAGGCGGUUUUUUAAGUCUGAUGUGAAAGCCCACGGCUCAACCGUGGAGGGUCAUUGGAAACUGGAAAACUUGAGUGCAGAAGAGGAAAGUGGAAUUCCAUGUGUAGCGGUGAAAUGCGCAGAGAUAUGGAGGACACCCAGUGGCGAAGGCGACUUUCUGGUCUGUAACUGACGCUGAUGUGCGAAAGCGUGGGGAUCAAACAGGAUUAGAUACCCUGGUAGUCCACGCCGUAAACGAUGAGUGCUAAGUGUUAGGGGGUUUCCGCCCCUUAGUGCUGCAGCUAACGCAUUAAGCACUCCGCCUGGGGAGUACGACCGCAAGGUUGAAACUCAAAGGAAUUGACGGGGACCCGCACAAGCGGUGGAGCAUGUGGUUUAAUUCGAAGCAACGCGAAGAACCUUACCAAAUCUUGACAUCCUUUGACAACUCUAGAGAUAGAGCCUUCCCCUUCGGGGGACAAAGUGACAGGUGGUGCAUGGUUGUCGUCAGCUCGUGUCGUGAGAUGUUGGGUUAAGUCCCGCAACGAGCGCAACCCUUAAGCUUAGUUGCCAUCAUUAAGUUGGGCACUCUAAGUUGACUGCCGGUGACAAACCGGAGGAAGGUGGGGAUGACGUCAAAUCAUCAUGCCCCUUAUGAUUUGGGCUACACACGUGCUACAAUGGACAAUACAAAGGGCAGCGAAACCGCGAGGUCAAGCAAAUCCCAUAAAGUUGUUCUCAGUUCGGAUUGUAGUCUGCAACUCGACUACAUGAAGCUGGAAUCGCUAGUAAUCGUAGAUCAGCAUGCUACGGUGAAUACGUUCCCGGGUCU